rnacentral:rRNA from 1 species
GUACGGGGCAAGCGUUGUCCGGAUUUAUUGGGCGUAAAGAGCGUGUAGGCGGCCAGGUAGGUCGGUUGUGAAAACUGGAGGCUCAACCUUCAGACGUCGACCGAAACCCCCUGGCUAGAGUCCGGAAGAGGAGAGUGGAAUUCCUGGUGUAGCGGUGAAAUGCGCAGAUAUCAGGAAGAACACCCGUGGCGAAGGCGGCUCUCUGGGACGGUACUGACGCUGAGACGCGAAAGCGUGGGGAGCGAACAGGAUUAGAUACCCUGGUAGUCCACGCCGUAAACGAUGGGUGCUAGGUGUGGGGGGUGUCGACUCCCUCCGUGCCGAAGCUAACGCAUUAAGCACCCCGCCUGGGGAGUACGGCCGCAAGGCUA